rnacentral:rRNA from 1 species
GGGGAAUAUUGGACAAUGGGGGGAACCCUGAUCCAGCCAUGCCGCGUGUGUGAAGAAGGCCUUAUGGUUGUAAAGCACUUUAAGCGAGGAGGGGGCUCUUUUGGCUAAUACCCAAGAUGAGUGGACGUUACUCGCAGAAUAAGCACCGGCUAACUCUGUGCCAGCAGCCGCGGUAAUACAGAGGGUGCGAGCGUUAAUCGGAUUUACUGGGCGUAAAGCGUACGUAGGCGGCUUUUUAAGUCGGAUGUGAAAUCCCUGGGCUUAACUUAGGAAUUGCAUUCGAUACUGGGAAGCUAGAGUAUGGGAGAGGAUGGUAGAAUUCCAGGUGUAGCGGUGAAAUGCGUAGAGAUCUGGAGGAAUACCGAUGGCGAAGGCAGCCAUCUGGCCUAAUACUGACGCUGAGGUACGAAAGCAUGGGGAGCAAAC